GAGUUUGAUCUUGGCUCAGGAUGAACGCUAGCGGCAGGCUUAACACAUGCAAGUCGAGGGGCAUCGGGAGGGAAGCUUGCUUUCCUUGCCGGCGACCGGCGCACGGGUGAGUAACACGUAUGCAACCUGCCCUCUUCAGGGGGACAACCUUCCGAAAGGGAGGCUAAUCCCGCGUAUAUCGGUUUCGGGCAUCCGUUAUCGAGGAAAGAUUCAUCGGAAGAGGAUGGGCAUGCGGCGCAUUAGCUAGACGGCGGGUAACGGCCCACCAAACCGACAAUCGGUAGCCGGACUGAGAGGUUGAACGGCCACAUUGGGACUGAGACACGGCCCAGACUCCUACGGGAGGCAGCAGUGGGGGAUAUUGCACAAUGGGGGAAACCCUGAUGCAGCGAUGCCGCGUGAAUGAAGACGGCCUCGGUUGUAAGUUACUGUCGUCAGGGACGGAAAGUAGACGGUACCGU
rnacentral:rRNA from 1 species